rnacentral:rRNA from 1 species
CAAUAGCGUAUAUUAAAGUUGUUGCGGUUAAAAAGCUCGUAGUUGGAUUUCUGCUGAGAACGACCGGUCCGCCCUUUGGGUGUGUAUCUGGCUCUUUCUUGGCAUCUUCUUGGUGAACGUUGCUGCACUUGACUGUGUGGAGCGCUACCCAGGACUUUUACUUUGAGGAAAUUAGAGUGUUUCAAGCAGGCAUACGCCUUGAAUACAUUAGCAUGGAAUAAUAAGAUAGGACCUCGGUUCUAUUUUGUUGGUUUCUAGAGCUGAGGUAAUGAUUAAUAGGGAUAGUUGGGGGCAUUCGUAUUUAACUGUCAGAGGUGAAAUUCUUAGAUUUGUUAAAGACGGACUACUGCGAANGNAUUUGCNAAGGAUGUUUNCAUUG